ACGAGAUAGAGAGGUUGAGGGUUCUGCUGCAGGAAGAGGGCGCCCGGAAGAGAGAAUAUGAAAAUGAGCUGGCAAAGGCAUCUAAUAGGAUUCAGGAGUCAAAGAGUCAGUGCACUCAAGUCGUUCAGGAGAGAGAGAGCCUGCUGGUGAAGAUUAAGGUCCUGGAGCAAGACAAGGCAAGGCUGCAGCGGCUGGAGGACGAGCUGAACCGUGCCAAAGCAACGCUGGAGGCAGAAACCCGGGUGAAACAGCGCCUAGAGUGUGAGAAGCAGCAGAUCCAGAACGACCUGAACCAGUGGAAAACUCAAUACUCCCGCAAGGAGGAGACCAUUAGGAAGAUAGAGUCGGAAAGAGAGAAGAGUGAGAGAGAGAAGAACAGUCUUAGGAGUGAGAUUGAGAGACUCCAGGCAGAGAUCAAGAGGAUUGAAGAGAGGUGCAGGCGGAAGCUAGAGGAUUCUACCAGGGAGACUCAGUCCCAGCUGGAAACGGAACGCUGCAGGCUUCAGAAGGAGAUUGACAAACUCAGGCAGCGCCCCUAUGGGUCCCAUCGGGAGACCCAGACAGAGUAC
rnacentral:lncRNA from 1 species